UACGUAGGGUGCGAGCGUUGUCCGGAAUUAUUGGGCGUAAAGAGCUCGUAGGCGGUUCGGUAAGUCGGGUGUGAAAACUCUGGGCUCAACCCAGAGAGGCCACCCGAUACUGCUGUGACUAGAGUGCGGUAGGGGAGCGGGGAAUUCCUGGUGUAGCGGUGAAAUGCGCAGAUAUCAGGAGGAACACCAGCGGCGAAGGCGCCGCUCUGGGCCGUAACUGACGCUGAGGAGCGAAAGCAUGGGGAGCGAACAGG
rnacentral:rRNA from 1 species